rnacentral:rRNA from 1 species
GAUGAACGCUAGCGGCAGGCUUAAUACAUGCAAGUCGAGGGGUAACAUGGGUAGCAAUACCUGAUGACGACCGGCAAACGGGUGCGGAACACGUACGCAACCUUCCCAUAACUGGUGAAUAGCCUUCCGAAAGGAAGAUUAAUACACCGUAACUUAACGAAGAGGCAUCUCUUUGUUAAUAUAGGCUUCGGCCGGUUUUGGAUGGGCGUGCGCCUGAUUAGGUAGUUGGCGGGGUAACGGCCCACCAAGCCUGCGAUCAGUAACUGGUGUGAGAGCACGACCAGUCACACGGGCACUGAGACACGGGCCCGACUCCUACGGGAGGCAGCAGUAAGGAAUAUUGGUCAAUGGACGAAAGUCUGAACCAGCCAUGCCGCGUGAAGGAUUAAGGCCCUCUGGGUUGUAAACUUCUUUUAUCUGGGACGAAAAAAGGGUAUUCUUACUCACUUGACGGUACCAGAGGAAUAAGCACCGGCUAACUCCGUGC